UUGAAAUUUUCAAGCACAUUU
rnacentral:piRNA from 1 species